GGGCAACUAGCUCAACCGGUUAGAGCGCUUCCUUCACAUGGAAGAGGUUACGGGUUCGAGUCCUGUGUUGCCCA
rnacentral:tRNA from 1 species